rnacentral:ncRNA from 2 species
AAUUGAAAAUGCGUUUCGCGUUCUUCCACACGGAAGCUAAGAGGGAAUCAGGUUGAACGCCUGAGCGGUCCCGCCACUGUAGUUGGAGAGCUGUGUCGCAGGAUGCCACUGGGAAACCGGGAAGGCGCGGCCGGCGAUGAUCCAUAAGCCAGGAGACCUGCGCGAAAGCGUUUCUAAUC